rnacentral:rRNA from 1 species
UACGUAGGGUGCAAGCGUUGUCCGGAAUUAUUGGGCGUAAAGAGCUCGUAGGCGGUUUGUCGCGUCUGCUGUGAAAACGCGAGGCUCAACCUCGCGCCUGCAGUGGGUACGGGCAGACUGGAGUGCGGUAGGGGAGAUCGGAAUUCCUGGUGUAGCGGUGAAAUGCGCAGAUAUCAAGGAGGAACACCGGUGGCGAAGGCGGGU